rnacentral:lncRNA from 1 species
UUUGACCAGGACCACGGCUGAAGAACAUACACCAAGAGACGCCUGUCUCCAGAAGCACAGAGAACUGUGCCGGCAUGCAGGCUCACCAAAGAAAGGGCUUCUGUGAGAGAGGACAGGAGAGAAGACCUGGGGGAAAGCCAUGUCUGUGUUAGAUGAAGAGAGGACAACAGCAGACCAAGGAGAAGCAAGACUGCCUUGGGUGUAAGCCAUGUCCUUGGAAGCAAGAGAAUAUUCCUGUGGCAAAAUUCAAACUUAGGAUGACUCCCUCCCAAAACACACAUGCGCCUGGAAAAAAAUGUGAAAGAAAGAAAAUCCUUAUAGUGAAAAAAAAAUUAAGUGAUUUAUGAAAAAACUGAAUAGAAAAGUUGUUAGAAUAAUUUAUUAUUUAUCAGUAAUAAUAAAUGGGGAAAUCUCACUCUUCCUUCAUCACGGCUCCUCCCAGACUCUAGCUACUUAGCUAAGUAGGGCAGAGGGGAAGGAGAGCCUGAGGUAGCUAGGAAAAUAUUAAGGGAAAAAAAUUUGUGAAAAUAAUUUUAAAGCCCUUCUGUUUUCCAACAAGGGGCAUAUCUGUCCCCGGAGCCUUGCAGCUGUGCCUCGCACCGAGCAAGCCAUUAGGUUUACAGCUCCCAGAAAAUAGCUUCGCACAGCUCUGAUUGCACGGGGCCCUCUGGGGUCUGCUGCAGGUUUGGUUUAGUUUCAUGGUGAUUUUAUAUUUCCUGUUCAAGUCUUUAUUAGUUCCAUAUAGAUACAUAAGCACGAGGGGUCAAGGGGGAGGCAGAAAUGCAAGACGACAGAAUGGAAGCGCUAAACUACCGACAGGAAUUUAAGGAAACAAGCGUGCGUGCCUGCCUGUGCGCUGGAGACCCUGAUUUGAUUCCUGGGUUGGGAAGAUCCCCUGGAGAAGGG